AGUAGGAUAAAAGACUUUUAGGUUUUACUUUCACGGUGGUGUGUGGUGGUUUGGUGUCCUUGUGUUUGUGUGUUGUAUGCAAGCACACGCGUACACAACACACAAACACCUAUUUCGUUUAAUAUCUCAGAAUGAAUUAACGAAAUUUGACACUGUAACACGCGUAUAAAGGGCAUUGGUGCUAUUAAAUCUUGGUGUUUAAUGAUGCCUACGCAAUUAUAUUCAUUAUGAUUAAUAAUUUAAAACUUAUUUCUUAAUAAAAAUCUCAUAACAGCCGGGAAAGUUACGCAACUCUGCCGGAUUUUUUUCAGAAUAAAUGCUCUUUCCGCUGCGCCAAUGUAAUUUACCCAAGGCGGGAUUUAUGUACACUAUACAGGGCCACCCAAAAGUCAGUUUACCAAGAAGUUUUCUGAGCCUUUACGAACGGAAAUUAAAGCCCCAACGGCCAAACGAAUAAGAAAAAACCACCAAACAAUGGUAUUCGGCCAGUUCGCGGUUGGCAAAUGGUGGAGUUUUCCGGGUUUUCUUCACGUUAGUAACACCUAAAUAGGGGUCAGUUUCCCGUAGGAAAUCCUCUCGGGAGGCACCCCACUUUGGCAGAUCGCCCACGUGUCGCGUUGCCGUAUACAAACAAACAAACAAACGGAAAUGAGCAGAUAAGGAAGCUACAGCUGCUGCUUCGUUCGUAGUCAAACCUCGAUAUAGCACCCUCGUGAAUGACGCCACCCCGUUAAAUCGUCGACUAGUACUCGUGAAUAAAACAGACUAAACGUGCAAACAGCAUUAAAAGCCACGUGAUUUGGUGAUAAACUCGUGCACAGACUUCGUUAUUACGUACAACGUUUAUUGUUCGAAAUACUUCGGUUUAGUGCCACCGUACCAUUUGUUUGCUUCUAAAAUUGGUGCUAACUUAAAUGCCAAUUUCAGAUUUGACUUUUGGCCAAACAAACGGUGGCGUUAAAUCCAAGUUCGAAUGUAAUUUCGAGUCGACCUCUCUAAACUAACAUAUAAAUUACUACCUAUCGAUCACUCUGCUUUAAUAUCCUUUAGAGAAUAUCAUUUGGUGGUAUGGGGUAGAGCCAUUCACAGAUAUGAGAUCCCACUCCUAUCAGAUCAUAAAUAUAUAUAUAUAAAAAUAAGAACAAAGUUUUACAUCAUUCACAAAAGAAAAUUCAAGUCAGUUUUUUACAUGAGAUUAAAUUUUAGGGCCUCCUCUGUGUCUGAGGCCUGCGCCAAAUGGCACUGUUAGCCUCUAUCUAACCAGGCUUGGAUCUUAUUACUCGCACUAACUUUUCUACAAGUUGCUACACUUAUUGAUUAAAGUAAAAAUGUCUAUCCAACUUUAAAUACAAUAUUUUCUUGUAAUAUAACAUGUCAACAGCUGCUUCACAGCAUCUACAUUGCACCUGUGAAGCAACAGCUGCUCCACAUUACCUAGGUUACACCUGUGGAGCAACAACCACUCAACAUCACCUACAUUUCACCUAUGGAGCAGCGUUGGCUUCAUAGGCGAGUGCAAGUUUGUAAUUGAAAUUUUAAGACAGAGCAAAUGUAAAAUUGUAUCCUCAACCCCUUUCGAACAGUCUUUUAAACAAAAAUAACCCGCAGUUUAGUAGCUUUACUGAUCUGGAACACACAAUAUAUUCUUAUAUCUCCUCAAGUACAUACCCCAAAGGUCUGAAACACUGUUUGUACAACAAAUUAGUUAUUUUAAAUGUAUCCAACACAUUAUUUUUUUAAAAAAAUUACUUAUAUAAUACUAAUAAAACACUUUAUAUAACAUUAAAUCAAAAUAUUACACAAGAAACUGCAACAUACACUUGAAAACUAGCAAGAAAACUUAACUUCUUGAGAUUGUCCAAUCAAUGAAAAUGCAAGAAAUUAAAAGAAUAUUUGGUAAUUUCGGUGGGCAUGAGCUAAAUUAAGUCUUCGCACUUAUUGCGACGCUUUCGGGUCUGGCAAGUUAACAAGAGCCAGUAAAGCAGUUCUAUGUUUUUAGGUCAUUAACCGCUCAUCUAUGAUGAUUUAAAAAGUCUGGCACCCUUUUUUAUGAUGUAAAUAAAAGGAGUCUCAAGGUAUUUGAUUCAUCAAAUUCAAAACAACAUUUUUGUGACGUUGAAUUUAAACUGGCGCAAAUUAUAGCACUCCCGAAUGUCCCCUGCUUAGAACUGUAUAUAGGUUAGUGUACGAGCGAGUAUAUUAAAACAAUGUCAGCCAUUUUUAGGUGGAGUCAGCAAGUAAACAAAGCUAUUUAAAUGCACCAGAAUAGCUACAUUAAAAUAGUUUCACGUGCCGAAAAAAUACUUCCAUACGGUGUCAUUUUUUAGCACAGUUUUGAUCAAUAUUAAUUUGUGAAGAUUUGUCGUAAUUAGACAGCUUGCACUAAGAAGAUUAUUAAGAAGAAAUGAUUUACGGAAGUAAAAUAAUCGGUCUGUUUGGCCGUCUAUCCAAUCGAUUAUUCUACAAAAUGCCGACAAAUCUAACUUUAAAGAGAAAUGUGGAAUCGCCCGUUAAUUUUAUGUUUUCUUCUUUAGCCAGUAAUACAAACAUUCUACCAAAGUUUAAACUUCCGGGUGUCAGAUACACUAAUAAUUUAAAUUUUAA